rnacentral:rRNA from 1 species
AGAACGAACGCUGGCGGCAUGCCUAAUACAUGCAAGUCGAACGAACACUUCGGUGUUAGUGGCGCACGGGUGCGUAACGCGUGGGAAUCUGCCCUUGGGUUCGGAAUAACAGUUGGAAACGACUGCUAAUACCGGAUGAUAUCGAAAGAUCAAAGAUUUAUCGCCCAGGGAUGAGCCCGCGUAGGAUUAGCUAGUUGGUGAGGUAAAGGCUCACCAAGGCGACGAUCCUUAGCUGGUCUGAGAGGAUGAUCAGCCACACUGGGACUGAGACACGGUCCAGACUCCUACGGGAGGCAGCAGUAGGGAAUAUUGGACAAUGGGCGCAAGCCUGAUCCAGCCAUGCCGCGUGUGUAGAAGAAGGCCUUCGGG